UUUUUUUCCACAAAGAAUUAAACCUUUCAUAGNAACGAUACAGAGAAGAUUAGCAUGGCCCCUGCGCAAGGAUGACACGUAAAUUCGUGAAGCGUUCCAUAUUUUU
rnacentral:snRNA from 1 species